AACGAACGCUGGCGGCAGGCUUAACACAUGCAAGUCGAGCGAGACCUUCGGGUCUAGCGGCGGACGGGUGAGUAACGCGUGGGAACGUGCCCUUCUCUACGGAAUAGCCCCGGGAAACUGGGAGUAAUACCGUAUACGCCCUUUGGGGGAAAGAUUUAUCGGAGAAGGAUCGGCCCGCGUUGGAUUAGGUAGUUGGUGGGGUAAUGGCCCACCAAGCCGACGAUCCAUAGCUGGUUUGAGAGGAUGAUCAGCCACACUGGGACUGAGACACGGCCCAGACUCCUACGGGAGGCAGCAGUGGGGAAUCUUAGACAAUAGGGGCAACCCUGAUCUAGCCAUGCCGCGUGAGUGAUGAAGGCCUUAGGGUUGUAAAGCUCUUUCAGCUGGGAAGAUAAUGACGGUACCAGCAGAAGAAGCCCCGGCUAACUCCGUG
rnacentral:rRNA from 1 species